UUUUUUUUUUUUUUUUUUUUUUUUCUGUUUCCCCUCCUUUUCCUGACUUUUUAUAUUUUGAGUGAUCCGGGGCUCAGUCUAGACUUUCUGCCCGCUAUCUACACACCCUUCCUUGUGAUUUCAUCCAGACUUGGUUUUUGUUUUGUUUUGUUUUGUGCCAUGCCCAUGGCAUGCAGAGGCUCCCAGGCCAGGAUAAGGGAUGGAACCCAUGCCACAGCAGUUGUGNUUGCUAUGGCACAGGUAUUGCUGUGGUGCAGGUUCAGUCCCUGAUCCAGGAACUUCUUCAUGCCAAGGGUGUGGCCAAAAAAUAUAUAAAUCAGCCAUAUCACACCUCUUCAUAAAACUCCCAAGUGGCUCCUCAUCUUAUUCAGUGGAAAAGCCCCCAUUUCGUCAAUGGUCCCUUCCCUCUAGACCUACUGAUCUGAGCCCAUCUCCACUGCACCCCCUCUUGCCCGCUCCUUCCUGCCACUGCACCACAUGGUCCCACCUGAGGGACUUCCCCUCCACUGAAAGGCUCCUUCUUUGGGUCCAGGUACAGUCUUCCCCAUCGCUUCAUGAGGUCUGCUCGGCUGUCACUGGAUUAGUGUGAUCUUCACAGCCACCCAAACCCAGCACACUCUUUGCUCCAUCCCUGCUCACAUUUUCUCCAAGGCACUUAUGCCAUCAGACGCUUUGAAUAUUUACCUUUUUUUUAGUCUCUUGGUUGGUUUCUUCUGCUUGGUUCAUGACAGUGUCUCCGUGCCUGUAACAGUACCUGGCUUAGAGCAAAAAAUGUUUGUUGAGUGACCCUCCAGCUGGAUGGCUCCCACUUCCAUGUCAGGGACUGGGUCUUUUUUAUCUUUGUAUCUGACAGCCAACCCAGUGGCUUUGUUGGAGGAGGUGCUUGAUAGUGAUCUAGUGAGGCUGUAUAGAACUGAGUUGUAUAAGUAGCUUUGGUUCCUCCCUAAAGUACUCCCUGUGCUGCAGCCCACAGGGACUCAUUUUCAGUAUAGGUUGGCAUAUAGUACGUAGGUGAUGCAGGCAGAUCUCCUCCUGUGCUGCCCCUUUCUCUUGUCUGUGCUCUGCAUUCUAACUUGGGGCUAUAGCCUUAUGUGUCCCUGUUUCUUGCUCUCUGCAUUGGACCAGGUGUUAGGGCGCUUGAGCUGACAUAUGCCCUCAUGAAAUAAUGGAAUGGUUAUGGGAUCUGGAAUCAGAAGGCUUGGGUUUGAAUCUUGGCUUUGCCAUGUACUGAUUUUCCUACCCAGGUCAAGUACCUUUUGUGUUGUCUCUGAGCCUUCUCAACUUUUCUCUUGAAAUAAGUAUAAAUUAAUAAUUUAGUAAGUAGAUUCACAGCUGGUCCCUCUCAGUUUCGGUGUUGUCCUCUGUAAAAGAUGCUUAGUUCAUGAAGUUGUGAGGAUUAGUUGAUUUCGUUGAUAGGGCAACACUAAGUAACUCAUUGUAUUAGUUGUCUAUUUUUCUGUAUAACAAAUUAAGCAGCCUAAAAAAAAUUAUUUAUGGAGUUCUUUUGUGUCCCAGCAGGUUACGAAUCUGGUGUUACUGCUGCAGGACUUGGGUCACUGCUGUGGUACAGGUUUGAUCCCUGGCCCAGGAACUUCCAUGUCCCACAGGUGCAACCAAAAAAUAUUAUCUAUUAUUAUGGAGCUUCUGUGGGUUAGGAAUUCAGGAGCAGCUUAGCUGAGUGGUUCUGGCUCAGAGUUUCAUGAAUUUAUAGUCAAGUUGUUGACUGGGGAUGCAUUCAUCUGAAGGCUUGACUGAGGCUGGAGGAUUGGCCUCUGGUAUGCUCAUUCACCUGUGUUGGCAGGAAGCCUUAGUUUCUCACCAUUUGGACCUGUCCCACAAGGCUGCUUGAAUGUCCUUACAACAUGGCAGCUGCCUUCCCCCAGAAUGAAUGAUCCAGGAAGACAGACUGGAAUGGAUGCUGCAGUGUCUUUUGUGAUCUAGUAUCAGAAUCAUACACCAUCACUUCUUUAUUUGUUAGGAACAAGUCACUCUACCCUGCUCAUACCCAAAGUGGGGGAGAAUUAGGCUCUAUUUUUUGAAGGGACUGUCAAAGAAUUUGUAGACAUAUUUUAUAAUCUCCACAGUCAUAAAGCACUAGGAAAAUGUUAAUUAACAUUGCAGGCAAGAGUUAUGAUUUGUGUACUCUUGGCCUUGUUAGAUGCAUUCUCUUUGUCACAUUCAGGAAAGGCUGUUGACUCUCAGCUCCUUUGUGCCUCUUAGGUUCUGUUAAUUGGUUAAUGAUUCACAGACAAUUCAUGGAUAGUCUUUUCUAUACAGCAAGACUGCAGGCUCCCUGCAGUCUCGACAUGUCUCAGAUUUCUGAUGCAACCUUGCAGAGUGAGGUUUUUGCAAAGUGAUGUCUAGUUCCAACUGUGAGAAUAUGGUUCUAGAGUUUCGACCCUCCACAGAAAUGGUGAGGGGAGGUAGAGGAGGAGUUGGCAUAUUGGAAAAAAUAAUAAACUUGCUUUUGCAUACAUUUAGUUUGAGGAACUUAAAAGGUGUGUAGAUGGAGUUCCCAUCACGGUGCAGCAGAAACGAAUCGGACUGGGAACAGUGAGGUUGUAGAUUAGAUCCCUGGCCUCGCUCAGUGGGUUAAGGAACUGGCAUUGCCAUGAGCUGUGGUGUAGGUCAAAGACACGGCUAGGAUCUGAUUUGUACAAGUAGCUUUGCUGUGGCUGUAGCACAGGCCGGAGGCUGUAGCUCCAAUCAGUCAGACCCCUAGCUUGGGAACCUCCAUGUGCCAAAGGUGUGGCCCUAAAAAAAAAAAAAAAA
rnacentral:lncRNA from 1 species